AAACCAUGAUAAGGACACUCUAAGAGAAGAUCUUUAAAACGUUCCAUACAUCGAGCAAAUGAUUCAUUUGGUUGUUGGAGAAACUGGAGAAUGUCGUUCCUAAGUUU
rnacentral:snoRNA from 1 species